rnacentral:rRNA from 1 species
GAUGAACGCUAGCGGGAGGCUUAACACAUGCAAGUCGAGGGGCAGCAUAAUGUAGCAAUACGUUGAUGGCGACCGGCGCACGGGUGAGUAACGCGUAUGUAACCUACCCUGUACAGGGGGAUAGCCCGGAGAAAUUCGGAUUAAUACCCCAUAAAGAUAUUUAGAGGCAUCUUUAGAUAUUUAAAGUUUCGACGGUACGGGAUGGGCAUGCGUGACAUUAGCUAGUUGGUAAGGUAACGGCUUACCAAGGCUACGAUGUCUAGGGGUCCUGAGAGGGUGAUCCCCCACACUGGUACUGAGACACGGACCAGACUCCUACGGGUGGCAG